rnacentral:rRNA from 1 species
GAUGAACGCUGGCGGCGUGCCUAAUACAUGCAAGUCGAGCGAACGGACGAGAAGCUUGCUUUUCUGAUGUUAGCGGCGGACGGGUGAGUAACACGUGGAUAACCUACCUAUAAGACUGGGAUAACUUCGGGAAACCGGAGCUAAUACCGGAUAAUAUUUUGAACCGCAUGGUUCAAAAGUGAAAGACGGUCUUGCUGUCACUUAUAGAUGGAUCCGCGCUGCAUUAGCUAGUUGGUAAGGUAACGGCUUACCAAGGCAACGAUGCAUAGACGACCUGAGAGGGUGAUAGGCCACACGGGAACUGAGACACGGUCCAGACUCCUACGGGAGGCAGCAGAAGGGAAUCUUCCGCAAUGGGCGAAAGCAUGACGGAGCAACGCCGCGUGAGUGAUGAAGGUCUUCGGAGCGUAAAACUCUGUUAUUAGGGAAGAACAUAUGUGUAAGUAACUGUGCACAGCUUGACGGUACCUAAUCAGAAAGCCACGGCUAACUACGUG